rnacentral:rRNA from 1 species
CCUACGGGAGGCAGCAGUCGAGAAUCAUUCACAAUGGGGGAAACCCUGAUGGUGCGACGCCGCGUGGGGGAAUGAAGGUCUUCGGAUUGUAAACCCCUGUCAUGUGGGAGCAAAUUAAAAAGAUAGUACCACAAGAGGAAGAGACGGCUAACUCUGUGCCAGCAGCCGCGGUAAUACAGAGGUCUCAAGCGUUGUUCGGAAUCACGGGGCGUAAAGGGUGCGUAGGCUGUUUCGUAAGUCGGGUGUGAAAGGCGCGGGCUCAACCCGCGGACUGCACAUGAUACUGCGAGACUAGAGUAAUGGAGGGGGAACCGGAAUUCUCGGUGUAGCAGUGAAAUGCGUAGAUAUCGAGAAGAACACUCGUGGCGAAGGCGGGUUCCUGGACAUUAACUGACGCUGAGGCACGAAGGCCAGGGGAGCGAAAGGGAUUAGAUACCCCUGUAGUC